rnacentral:rRNA from 1 species
CAGUCGCCGCGGUAAUACGUAGGGUGCAAGCGUUAAUCGGAAUUACUGGGCGUAAAGCGUGCGCAGGCGGUUCGUUAAGACAGAUGUGAAAUCCCCGGGCUUAACCUGGGAACUGCAUUUGUGACUGGCGGGCUAGAGUAUGGCAGAGGGGGGUAGAAUUCCACGUGUAGCAGUGAAAUGCGUAGAGACGUGGAGGAAUACCGAUGGCGAAGGCAGCCCCCUGGGCCAAUACUGACGCUCAUGCACGAAAGCGCGGGGAGCAAACAGGAUUAGAUACCCGCGUAGUCCCUGUCUCUUAUAC